CUAACAUAAUGUCUAACACAAGCCCGUGAAUACUUAUGUUUCUUAGUCUUUGGGGCUGAAGGUAUAGAAAUGAAAUUAAGCCCUGUGAUACAAUCCAGGGUCUUUGCCAAGAAAAGAAACACGGACUUCUUCAGACUACUACUAUACGGUGCGUGGUUUGGAUCUAGCGAGAUCUUUCCCAAAUGUGGAACCCGUAUUGUACUUUCAAGAGAGCCUCAGAAAAAGGAAGCGACAUCUGACGUCUUUGAGAUAGGAAUUCAGUGCCCCUGCGAACCAGUGUAGCAGCUCCCAGACAAACUGUCAAGAACGGAAUUUAGGGGCCAGCCCAUGGCCGAGUGGUUGGGUUCGCAUGCUCCACUUCAGCGGCCCAGGGUUUCGCAGGUUCAGAUCCUGGGCGCGGACCUGGCCCUGCUCAUCAGGCCACGCUGAGGCAGCGUCCCACAUGCCACAACUAGAAGGACC
rnacentral:lncRNA from 1 species